rnacentral:rRNA from 1 species
UACGGAGGAUGCAAGCGUUAUCCGGAAUUAUUGGGCGUAAAGCGUCCGCAGGUGGCUGUGUAAGUCUGCUGUCAAAGAGCAAAGCUCAACUUUGUAAAUGCAGUGGAAACUACACGGCUAGAGUGCGUUCGGGGCAGAGGGAAUUCCUGGUGUAGCGGUGAAAUGCGUAGAGAUCAGGAAGAACACCGGUGGCGAAGGCGCUCUGCUAGGCCGCAACUGACACUGAGGGACGAAAGCGUGGGGAGCAAACAGG